AUCAUUUCAUCAUUUUACUAACUAAUAUUUUAGCUUUAAAAAAGUGUGAAUUAAGCUGUUUUACAGUGCACAUGUAAUUUUUAGCACUGAAAUUAGCAAAUGAUGACAGUUAUUUUAGCACAUAUGAAAAAAGACACUUGAUUUGUUAAUUUGAAAUUGUUUAAUUUUGUAAACCACAUAAAGAAACAUAUGUAGUUGUUAUCACAUGUUAAGAUACAUAUGUAGUUGUUAACAAAUUUGAAGACACAAAUGCAACUGUAAUCACAUUUAAAUUAGUAUAUGUAGUUGUUAACAUGUAAAUUAACAUAUGAAGUUUUUAACAUGUUAAUACACAUAUGUUGUGGUAAACAAUAAUCACAUGUAAGGAUGCAUAUGUUGCUGUUAGCACAUAUAAAGAUACAUAUGUUGCUGUUAACACAUAUAUAGAUACAUAUGAAGCUGUUAACACAUUUAUAAUCCACACACUUUGUUAAUCUAACUCAGUAAUAAUAUGUUCCUUUAUGAUUGUUAAUUUAUAACUAGUCGUUUUAUCUCUAUACAAUACAAUAGAGAAAGGUGCUGAUGAUACACAUUUGUUUUGGUGUGGUCCAAAAAUUGUUGUUGUGUGUGUGAUUGUGUAUAUGAGUGAUCAGUAUGUGUAUAAAUGUGUUUAAAUGUGUAUACAAGUCAUUGAUUGGUCAGAAGUGAAAAAGUUUGAAAGAAUUUUUAUUUACAGAUAACAGUUCUCAUUCAAAAUUAAGAAAAAAAAAGCAUUAGUGUAUGGGUUUUUAUUUUGAAAUAGAACAAGCAUUAGUGUAUGGGUUUUUAUUUGAAAUAGAACAAGAAUUAGUGUAUGGGUUUUUAUUUUGAAAUGUAACAAGUAUUAGUGUAUGGGUUUUUAUUUUGAAAUGUAACAAGUAUUAGUGUAUGGGUGUUUAUUUUGAAAUGGAACAACGUAAGUGUAUAAGUUUUUAUUUAGUGGUAAUUUGUGUUCAUAAAAAUCAAACUAAGGUUUUCAAUACAGUUCUCAUUGUUCAUAUUGAACAGUUUGAAAACUUUCUAUAUGAUAAGGCAUUUAAGUACAAGAAAUAACAGUAAAGGGAGCUCGAUAAAGUGCCAUGUUAAGGUUUCAAUGCAAUCUAAUUGGUCAGUUUUCCUGAUUUUGUUUUCUGAUUUAUUAAUGUUAGGUUAGGUAAUGUCAUGUUUAUUUUUGUUUUUAUAAUUUUAUGGUAAUUUUAUCUUGAAUAAUAACACUGUAGCAAUAUAUGCUUCUGAACUUGGAAUUUUGAAUUUCAUUGGUUUAGGCAAUAGUUUUGAAAAAUGUGCCCCAUUGAAUUAGGUAACAAUUUGUAGUAAUUAAGAGUUUUAAGAAUUAUGCUCCUUUGAAUUUAGGAGGAAUUUAAAGUAGGCUAUAGUUUUAUGUAGUUUUGUCCAUUGAUUUAGGUGGAAUUUGAGGUAGGCAAUAGUUUAAGGAAAUCUGCUCCAUUUAAUUCAGGAGGGUUUUGAAGUAAGAAAUAGGUUUAUGAAAUCUGCUUCAUUGAGUUGAUAGGAAUAUAAAGUAGGCAAUAUUUUUUUUUUAGUAAAUUGCUCCAUUGAAAUUUAGGAGGAAUUUAGAGUAGGUAAUAGUUUAAUGAAAUCUUUUCAAUUAAAUGUGGCAGGUGUUUGCAGUAGUCAUUCUAUGGCAGUCACAGCAAAUUUACACCAAUCAAAAUCUAGCUAAAAACAUUGGCAGUAUCAUCAUAUCGGAGAGUAAGCUAAACAUAUCCAUGCAAAUUUGAAUAAUUUAUCAUUGGACAGUCAGGUUAGUUUUGGUUCAUGUAGGAAAAUGGACAGUGAAAUGUUUGUAAUGGGUGCAUACCAGUAGCCAGGGGGUUGGAGGGGUUCAUACGAACCCCUAGAAAACAAAUAAGCACUGUUAAAGUCUACAUGCUGUUGAAUUGUAACUGUUAGUGAAAGUUGAGCACGAUUGUAUCAACCUCCCCCCUUUGGAAAUUCCUGGCUACCGGCCUGGGGUGUUUUUAAAAAACAUUCUUAAAAAAUAGCAAAAUUUCCUGAUUUAUGGUUCGAAAGAAAUGAUAACUGGCUUUAAAGAUUUUUUGCAUUAAAAUGUUUGGAAAUAUAAAAUAACAAAGUUUAUUUAGUCAAAGUUUUCUUACAAUAAAUUGUGCCAUUCAAAAUACAUAAAUAGCAAUAUUCGUGUGAAUUCACAAAAUUAUAAAUAUUGACACCAGAUGUAAUUCAUUCAGAUCACCAAAAUCAGUUUUAGUGUCAGUAAAAAUAUAAAUGUUUUUGAAUUUAUUUUUCUGAAAUUUUCAGUAUUUUUCUUUCAAUUCUCAGAGAAUUGAGUGUUUAAUAUUUCAACCAUAGACUUAUAUUUACGCAACCACCAGAACAAUAUAAACUAUUUUGAUUUGAUAAUUCAAAGAUCUACCGUGUUGUUACUGUUGUAGACAUGGUAAAUAUACCCGUUCUUUGACACAUUCUAGGUCUCUGAUAAAUAGAUAUGUGGACAUUUUUUGAAAUGAAUGGAAAUUAGUUAGCAGAACAUUUUUUUUUUAAUCAGAAAGUGCUAGCUUACCCUGGAUACAUAUAUACAAUGUUUCAGACUAGUAGUUUACCAAUAGAAAAGAAUUCUUAUAUAUAAGAAUACAGAUAAUUAUAAGCAUUAUAUUGAUGCAUAAAACUAAUUGCUGUUGCAAUUAGAUUUAAAGAACUGUGUAAUCUAAUUAAAAUUAAAUCUCUGCACUUGCUCCUCUUUGUUUAUAUGUCACGCAUGGGAGAUCUAACAAUAGCCACUUGAGGGUCAUGUCCCACUGGCGACAUAUAAACAACAAGGAGCAAGUGGGAGAGAUUUAAUUUUAAUUAGAUUGAGAACUGUGUUCAAUAUUAUAUAUUUAGAAAGUACAUAAAGUGGAUAAUACAAAUUUAGUGCUUUAGAUACUGUGGAUUUAUUUAUUUUACUGGACUAGGGAAUAAUUGUAUUUUACUGGACUAGGGAAUAAUUGUAUUUUACUGGACUAGGGAGUAAUUGUAUUUUACUGGACUAGGGAAUAAUUGUAUUUUACUGGACUAGGGAGUAAUUGUAUUUUACUGGACUAGGGAGUAAUUGUAUUUUACUGGACUAGGGGGGGAGUAAUUGUAUUUUACUGGACUAGGGAAUAAUUGUAUUUUACUGGAUAUUUGAUUUUGUGGUUUUGUCAAAGUUAGAAACAAGCAUAUAUAAAAUGUGUACCUGCAUUUGGUAAAACUUUUUGAAAUAGGGGUUCACCUUCACCCACGAAAUCCACAAAAAAUUGUAUCCCACGAAUGAUAAUUUCUCCACAGUAUAUUAGUUUGUAGUUUCUGUUUUUCGUUUAUGAAGAAAAGGAUUUUACUGUCUUUUAUUAAGUUUUAGAACAAUCAGUUUUAUAUUUGUGUCAAGUCUGUGACUAAAAGAGAGAGAUUGAUGUAUGUUUCAGAUAGUGUGAACUUUGCAGUGUACAUUGUACUACAUUGUAAAUGAAGAUUCUUUGGAUUAUAAAAAUAAUUCUUGAUAUUUUAUGAUGAGGUAUGAGAUUCAAAAUGAACUUUUAACAGGGUGAAUAUUAUAUAGUUGACCUAUUUAUUUAUCUCUAUGUUGUCACACACAAAUAUCACUGUAUAGAAAGUGAAAAUCUAGAGAAUGUUUAACCCUAUUUAUUUACUUCUUUGACUGCUAUUUAUUCAUUUUUAUGUCAGGACAAAUAAAUAUCAUUGUAUAUAAAGUGAGAAUCUAGAAAAACCUUGACUCCUAUAUAUUUAUUUCUAUAUCAGGUCACAUAAAUAUCACUGUAUAGAAACAGAGAAUCGAGAGAAUGCUUGACUCGUAUCUAUUUAUUUCUAUGUACAGUACUGUAUAGAAGGUGAGAUUCUAGUGAAUGCUUAACUUAUAUUUAUUUAUUUCUAUAUCAGGACACAUAAAUAUCACUGUAUAGAAACAGAGAAUCGAGAGAAUGCUUGACUCGUAUCUACUUAUUUCUAUGUACAGUACUGUAUAGAAGGUGAGAAUCUAGAGAAUGCUUAACUUAUAUUUAUUUAUUUCUAUGUCAGGACACAUAAAUAUCACUAUAGAAAGUGAGAAUCUAGUGAAUGCUUUACUCCUAUUUUUUUUAUUUUUUGUUAGGACAUAAAUAUCCCUGUGCAGAAACUGAGAAUCUAGAAAAAAGUUGACUAGUGUGACCUGCCAUAAAUUUGUACUUAAAGCACUAGUAAAAAAAACCCAUAAAACUACGCUGUUUUUGGUUGAGUAGGAUAUUAAAAUAUUUGUGAGUGCAAAUGUCAAAAUCUAGGAGAUGAAAUAUAAGUCAUCAGUUUUCUUUAACUUCUCAAUCCAAAGACUUAGCAUAUUCAUUAUAAUCCAUUAUAAAACAUUAUUUCCUAUAAAGAUAUAAUUAGUUUGUUGAAAAAAAUUUACAUAUUCCUGUACUAACAUUACAUAACUAUGAUAGUCUUGAUGUGGGUUCUUAAUUUCUUUAUUCUUUAAAUUUUAAAAACUUUUUUCUUUUUCUUUAAAAGCGAUGCUUAUUCUGUAAAAUUCUCAUGAAAAUGAUUUUACUAUUAAUUUGUUAAGUAAUUGAAGGAUUGUUGUUAUUUUCCACAAUCAUUCUUUAUACUUUGGAAUCCCAUUACUCUUUUCUCUAAUUAUUUUGCUCAUUUUUCUCGAUCCAAAAUUUUCGGCAAAUUAUUCUCUAUUCUUUAAACCCCUGCAUCCAGACCACAAAUAUAAAUCUGCUGAUUAUAUAUAAUGGUGUAUAAUAAAUGUUAUGUAGUCACAUUGGAGUCAUUAACUAUUGUUAUAUUUAGCAUAUUUUCAAUAAUAAGACCAACUUAUGGGGUAUUACCAGUACAUAUCAUCAGUUAUCAACAUACUAUUUAUACAUAUUUACAAAAAAGAGUGCUGUUUAUCAUUGUAUUUGAACAAAUAUGAGAGAAAAUAAGAAAUUUCCCAUCCCUUUUUAUCACUGAAACCAUCAACAUAAUGAUGUUUACUUUUGGCUCAUGCCUGAUAAAAAAAAUCAAAUAAUUAAUUUAUAUGAUAAAAAACAAAAAUGAAAAAUUCCAGUAACCUGACAUUAAAUUUUGUUUGGAAAUAUGAUUCUUUCACUAUAUUGAAUACUUAUCUUAUAUUUUGGAAAAGUAUGUGGUAAUUUGAAAUAUUGUCAUAUGGGGUGAAUUUAUGAAUUUAUAAUUUUAUUAUGAUUUUCAUCACAUGACCUAUCAGUCCAAUCAAUACACAUCACAUGACCUAUUAGUCCAAUCAACAUACAUCAUAUCCUCUGUGUUAUGUUUUAAGAUAUUUUGUUAAGAAUUGUACUCAUGUUAAAUUAUGAAUAAUUAAUGUAAAUAAAAUUACAUUUUAAAAUGAUAA
rnacentral:lncRNA from 1 species